AAGGAUCAUUACUGAUUUGCUUAAUUGCACCACAUGUGUUUUUUAUUGAACAAAUUUCUUUGGUGGCGGGAGCAAUCCUACCGCCAGAGGUUAUAACUAAACCAAACUUUUUAUUUACAGUCAAACUUGAUUUAUUAUUACAAUAGUCAAAACUUUCAACAACGGAUCUCUUGGUUCUCGCAUCGAUGAAGAACGCAGCGAAAUGCGAUACGUAAUAUGAAUUGCAGAUAUUCGUGAAUCAUCGAAUCUUUGAACGCACAUUGCGCCCUUUGGUAUUCCAAAGGGCAUGCCUGUUUGAGCGUCAUUUCUCCCUCAAACCCCCGGGUUUGGUGUUGAGCAAUACGCUAGGUUUGUUUGAAAGAAUUUAACGUGGAAACUUAUUUUAAGCGACUUAGGUUUAUCCAAAACGCUUAUUUUGCUAGUGGCCACCACAAUUUAUUUCAUAACUUUGACCUCAAAUCAGGUAGGACUACCCGCUGAACUUAA
rnacentral:rRNA from 1 species